rnacentral:rRNA from 1 species
GUCUACAGCCAUACCACUCUGAACACCCCAGAUCUCCUCUUGAUCCCAGAAACUAAGUAGGGUUGGGCCUGGUUGGCACUUAGGUGGGAGACUACCUAGGAAUACUGGGUGCUGCAUGGG